rnacentral:tRNA from 1 species
GUGGGUAUAACUCAGUGGUAAAGUGCAUGCUUAGCAUGCACCAGGCCCUGGGUUCAAUCCCCAGUACCUCCA